rnacentral:rRNA from 1 species
GAUGAACGCUGGCGGCGUGCCUAAUACAUGCAAGUCGAGCGAACGGACGAGAAGCUUGCUUCUCUGAUGUUAGCGGCGGACGGGUGAGUAACACGUGGAUAACCUACCUAUAAGACUGGGAUAACUUCGGGAAACCGGAGCUAAUACCGGAUAAUAUUAUGAACCGCAUGGUUCAAAAGUGAAAGACGGUCUUGCUGUCACUUAUAGAUGGAUCCGCGCUGCAUUAGCUAGUUGGUAAGGUAACGGCUUACCAAGGCAACGAUGCAUAGCCGACCUGAGAGGGUGAUCGGCCACACUGGAACUGAGACACGGUCCAGACUCCUACGGGAGGCAGCAGUAGGGAAUCUUCCGCAAUGGGCGAGAGCCUGACGGAGCAACGCCGCGUGAGUGAUGAAGGUCUUCGGAUCGUAAAACUCUGUUAUUAGGGAAGAACAUAUGUGUAAGUAACUGUGCACAUCUUGACGGUACCUAAUCAGAAAGCCACGGCUAACUACGUG